ensembl:lincRNA
AUGAAAAAUUAUAUUUUUGGUUUUUAUUUCUCUCCUUAUACCAGCAUGAAUUUAAUACAUAGAGAUGGUUUCAUUUUCUUUUGUCAUUCAUUAUGGUUUAUAUCACUCUUUAAAAACUUGAAAUUCUGUAAUAUAACUACUGCAUCUCAAAGUACAAUAUAUCCUUAGAUCAAACAAGAUAAAUUUUAAAAGAAUGAUUGUUACUGUAACUCCUCUACUAACCUGUUUGGAAACUCUGCUUUGUUGCUUUUAUUUUUCUUUCUUUAAAAUUAAAAAAUGAGUGUUAGCUUUAAUAUUGGCCCACAUACAUGUUUCAUUUGGCUUUUAAAAGCCACAUUAAAUGUCUUUAUAAGACAAAUCAUCUGAUCUUUCAUUUUGUUGCAUCCUUCACCCACUCGUUCUGUGCUUACAGAGAGACCAUGUGGACUGGCCUGGAAGAAAGGAAGUAUGUCUCAGUCUGGGGAAGAAAGUAAGUGUGAUUUCCACCCAUUCCCCACCAGAAGACACUGAAUAUUGUAUAAGUCACACUAGCCCUUCAAGAUAAGCGAAACUAUCAGAACUAUAUACAUGACUGCUAAGGUCCAUUUGCAUAUACCAGAUGUUAAAUUUUGAACAUCUAGGAAUGGAAUAAGGAAUUAAAAAUAAAGUUCUGUUCCCAUUCAUAAACUUUUUCAUCAAAUAACAAACAUGUCAAGGAUGCUCUGGAGUAUUGUGAAAUUCUUCCACAGAAUUUCUGGCACAGUACUUCUGACAAAGACACUGGCAGAAGGCAGAGAUAAGCCCAUAUGAAACUUCACAAAGUGCUAUAAAUGUACGCUUUUUACAUUUUAGCUGGGCAUGGUGUGCAUAUCUCUAACCAGCACCCUUGGUGACUGAGGCAGGGGGUUCAGAAAUUUGAGUCCUGCCGAAGCAGUUUAGUAAUGUGGUGAGACUUUGUCUUGACACCAAAGUAACAAUAGGACUAAAUAAAAUAUUUUAUUUGGAAAGCUAUCAUAUUAUUGACUAAAUGGGUAUCAUAAAAGAAACAGUGAAAAUAAUAUUUUUCUUUCAUAAAAAAUGAUAUUAUUUCAUUCUCUUUAAAAAAAUAAGAUUGAUCAAAAAUUAUGGAGGAAAUAACACAAUAUAUAAUUACUAAUGUUUAAGUAAAUAAGAUCUUUGUCUUUAAAUUCAAAUUAUCUUUAUUCAUUUACGUGCUUCGGUUGCAUGUCAAAGGUAGAGGAGAAAGAGAGAACCAAUAACUUCUAACUCUUAAGAUCAACUGCAAGUAUACCAUGCAGUUCACUUCCCAAAAGAUAGUUAAAAUAAUAAAGAACAGCUAAACAAAUACUGUACCCUCCAAAGAAACACUUCACAAUGCCAAAGAAAAACAGGCAAUAUGUAAAAAGACAUAAAUGCCUGGGCUGGGAAUUUAGCUCAGUGGCACAAUGCUGCCUAGCAACAGCGAGAUCCUGAGUUCGAUUCCUGGUACCCAAAAGAAAAAAAUGACAUAACUUCUCUAACGUUAAUAUGAAAAAUAGUAACCAGUGAAUGCUGGUGGUUGUAUUAGAUAAGUUAAGUUCAAA